rnacentral:rRNA from 1 species
CAGCAGCCGCGGUAAUACGUAGGGUGCAAGCGUUAAUCGGAAUUACUGGGCGUAAAGCGUGCGCAGGCGGUUUUGUAAGUCUGUCGUGAAAUCCCCGGGCUCAACCUGGGAAUGGCGAUGGAGACUGCAAGGCUAGAAUCUGGCAGGGGGGGGUAGAAUUCCACGUGUAGCAGUGAAAUGCGUAGAUAUGUGGAGGAACACCGAUGGCGAAGGCAGCCCCCUGGGCUAAGAUUGACGCUCAUGCACGAAAGCGUGGGGAGCAAACAGGAUUAGAUACCCGGGUAGUCCCUGUCUCUUAUAC